rnacentral:tRNA from 1 species
GGAGUUGUAGCUCAGUGGUAGAGCACUUGCCUAGCAUGCAUGAAGCACUGGGUUUGAUUCUCAGCACCA